GCCAUGGCUCAGUGGCAAAGCAUCUGCUUUGCAUGCAGACGGUCCCAGGUUCAAGCCCCAGCAUCUCCA
rnacentral:tRNA from 1 species